GGGAAGAUGGCUCAGUGGUAGAGUGCUUGCCUGGCAUGCAUGAGGCCCUGAGUUUGAUUCUUCAGUACCA
rnacentral:tRNA from 1 species